rnacentral:rRNA from 1 species
GAUGAACGCUGGCGGCGUGCCUAAUACAUGCAAGUCGAGCGAACAGACGAGGAGCUUGCUCCUCUGACGUUAGCGGCGGACGGGUGAGUAACACGUGGAUAACCUACCUAUAAGACUGGGAUAACUUCGGGAAACCGGAGCUAAUACCGGAUAAUAUAUUGAACCGCAUGGUUCAAUAGUGAAAGACGGUUUUGCUGUCACUUAUAGAUGGAUCCGCGCCGCAUUAGCUAGUUGGUAAGGUAACGGCUUACCAAGGCAACGAUGCGUAGCCGACCUGAGAGGGUGAUAGGCCACACUGGAACUGAGACACGGUCCAGACUCCUACGGGAGGCAGCAGUAGGGAAUCUUCCGCAAUGGGCGAAAGCCUGACGGAGCAACGCCGCGUGAGUGAUGAAGGUCUUCGGAUCGUAAAACUCUGUUAUUAGGGAAGAACAAAUGUGUAAGCAACUAUGCACGUCUUGACGGUACCUAAUCAGAAAGCCACGGCUAACUACGUG